rnacentral:misc_RNA from 1 species
GAUGAAGAACGUAGCGAAAUGCGAUAAGUAAUGUGAAUUGCAGAAUUCAGUGAAUCAUCGAAUCUUUGAACGCACCUUGCACCCUUUGGCAUUCCGAAGGGUAUGCUCGUUUGAGUGUCAUUGUACUCUCACUCUCCCGAUGCUUUUGGAUCGGGAGUGGUGGACUUGGGUGUUGCUGCUUUGCUGUGGCUCGCCUCAAAUGGAGUAGUGCAACUCUUGGUUGGACAUAGUACGGCGUGAUAAGUGUCUUCGCCGGCGCCUCAUUAUAGAGGGUGGCCGAUCGGGAGCUCUGUGCUUCAACCCGUCUUCGGACAACAUCUGACAACUUGACCUCAAAUCGAGUAGGACUACCCGCUGAACUUAAGCAUAUCAAUAAGCGGAGGA